rnacentral:rRNA from 1 species
ACAGCAGCCGCCGCGGGAAUACGGAGGGUGCAAGCGUUAAUCGGAAUUACUGGGCGUAAAGCGCACGCAGGCGGUCUGACAAGUCAGAUGUGAAAUCCCCGGGCUUAACCUGGGAACUGCAUUUGAAACUGUCAGGCUGGAGUCUUGUAGAGGGGGGUGGAAUUCCAGGUGUAGCGGUGAAAUGCGUAGAGAUCUGGAGGAAUACCGGUGGCGAAGGCGGCCCCCUGGACAAAGACUGACGCUCAGGUGCGAAAGCGUGGGGAGCAAACAGGAUUAGAUACCCCUGUAGUCCCUGUCUCUUAUAU